rnacentral:snRNA from 1 species
GUGUUCACUGUGGCAGCAUAUACACUAAAAUUGGAACGAUAUGGAGAUUAGCAUGGCCCCUGUGCAAGGAUGACAUGCAAAUUCAUGAAGCAUUCCGUAUUUUU